rnacentral:rRNA from 1 species
UUGAACGCUGGCGGCAUGCCUUACACAUGCAAGUCGAACGGUAGAGGGGCAACCCUUGAGAGUGGCGAACGGGUGAGUAAUGCAUCGGAACGUGCCUAGUCGUGGGGGAUAACGCAGCGAAAGCUGUGCUAAUACCGCAUGUGAUCUGUGGAUGAAAGCAGGGGACCGCAAGGCCCUUGUGCGAUUGGAGCGGCCGAUGUCAGAUUAGCUAGUUGGUAGGGUAAAAGCCUACCAAGGCGACGAUCUGUAGCUG